GACGAACGCUGGCGGCGUGCUUAACACAUGCAAGUCGAACGGAGUGGCGAACGGGUGAGUAACACGUGGGUGAUCUGCCUUGCACUUCGGGAUAAGCUUGGGAAACUGGGUCUAAUACCGGAUAGUGCAAGAGGAGCUCGCGGCCUAUCAUCUGGUUGGUGGGGUAAUGGCCUACCAAGGGGUCGACGGGUAGCCGACCUGGGAGGGUGGACGGCCACAUUGGGACUGAGAUACGGCCCAGACGGCAACGGGGGGCAGCAGUGGCGAAUAUUGCACAAUGGGCGGAAGCGUGAUGCAGCGACGCCGCGGGGGGGAUGAAGGUCUUCGGGUUGUAAACUCGUUUCGACAGGGACGCGGUACCUGUAUAAGAAGCACCGGCUAACUACGUGCCAGCAGCCGCGGUAAUUC
rnacentral:rRNA from 1 species